rnacentral:lncRNA from 1 species
AAAAGGGGAAAGAGAAUGUUGUUGCAGAUGCGCUUUCGCAGCUACCUGAGCAAGCUGAAUUUUCGAUCGUUUUACUUCCAACCAGCGACUUCCUUGAGGAUAUUAAGAUGGAAUGACAGGAAGAUUCGGAUACCAGUAAGAUCAAAAAAAAUUAGAGGAAGCACCAAGCUCCGUGGCUCAUUACAAUCGAGACUCAAAAGAAUUAUGCUAUAAGGGAUGCAUUGUGCUUGUGACAAAUUCUACUUGCAUCUUCAAGAGCAGAUUUUGGACAAAGUUAUUCCAUAU